UGAUGGAGCCAACUAGAAUUCAUUAGUGACUAAAACGCUAAGAAAAAUGUAAUAGAAGAUAAUGACAUCAUAUUACUAAGAGUACAGACCAAUGGCCGUGCCAGCUGUUGCGGUAAAACGGCUUGUACAAACGUUAGUCUUCUUAAAUGGGCAUAUAGGGUUCGUAGGCAGUCUCUAUAAUGGAUCUUAUUGAAUAUAAAUGAUCAUUUUGAGAGAUUAUUUGAUCAUCAUUUUAUAUAUAUAUAUAAAAAAAAUGACAUGAUAAUAUGUAUUAUUAAUCUGCGCAGUAGGAAUUUUGUUUACAAAAAAUCUAAAUGUAAAGACAGAAGCUUUUCGUGAGAAAAGCAUAAACUGUUAAGUUUUUAAUUAUAAUUUCUUUUGCAUAAUAUAGGGUUAUGCAGAUUUUAUUAGAAUAUUAAUUUUUAAUGAUCAUAUUAUUGUGAUUAUUCAUAUAAGAUAAAGAUAUGACUAAAGGAGGAAACCUCGCAAAUAAGGGUGAAAUCUGGAGGGAUACUAGAGUAUAGUAUGAGGAGUGUUGACUACUUUUUAUAUAUAGAAAAGGAAUCUUUAAAUUGAGAAUAGAAUCUGAUAGAGGAAAGUAUACAACACUAGAAGAAGGGACGAAAUCCUAAAAGAUCAAGGUGAGUGCUAAAUGCGAAGGCUGUUUUCCAGAUAAAGAUUGACGCUGAGGAACUAAGGUUAGGGUUGGGAACAGGAUUUGAGACCCAGGUACUCCUUACUGUCAACGAUGAAUGGUAGAUGUUAGUGCAUAGUGCUUUGCGUUAGCGUCGAUGUGAAAAAUACGAUAACCAUUCCGCCUUGAGAGUAUAUUCGCAAGAAUGAAAUCAAAAAAAUUAGUCGGUCUUAAAGCAA
rnacentral:rRNA from 1 species